rnacentral:rRNA from 1 species
UACGAAGGGGGCUAGCGUUGUUCGGAAUCACUGGGCGUAAAGCGCACGUAGGCGGAUCUUUAAGUCAGGGGUGAAAUCCCGAGGCUCAACCUCGGAACUGCCUUUGAUACUGGGGAUCUCGAGUCCGGGAGAGGUGAGUGGAACUGCGAGUGUAGAGGUGAAAUUCGUAGAUAUUCGCAAGAACACCAGUGGCGAAGGCGGCUCACUGGCCCGGAACUGACGCUGAGGCACGAAGGCCAGGGGAGCAAACGGG